rnacentral:rRNA from 1 species
UGAGGAAUCUUCCACAAUGGACGAAAGUCUGAUGGAGCGACACCGCGUGAAGGAUGAAGGUCUAACGAUUGUAAACUUCUUUUCUGAGGGAGCAUAAUGAGAGUACCUCAGGAAUAAGGGACGGCUAAUUACGUGCCAGCAGCCGCGGUAAUACGUAAGUCCCAAGCGUUACCCGGAAUUAUUGGGUGUAAAGGGUCCGUAGGCGGAUCUAUAAGUUGAAUAUGAAAGACCGAGGCUCAACCUCGCGUUUGUAUUCAAAACUGUAGAUCUAGAAUUAGGGAGAGGUUAGCAGAAUUCUUAGUGUAGGGGUGCAAUCCGUAGAUACUAAGAGGAAUACCAAAAGCGAAGGCAGCUAACUGGAACUAUAUUGACGCUCAGGGACGAAAGCGUGGGGAGCAAAGAGGAUUAGAUACCCUCGUAGUCCACGCCCUAAACGAUGAUAACUAAGUGUUGGGAAUUGUCCCAGUGCUGUAGCAAACGCGUUAAGUUAUCCACCUGAGGAGUACGGUCGCAAGAUUA